GGGAAACUGCCCGAUGGAGGGGGAUAACUACUGGAAGCGGUAGCUAAUACCGCAUGACAUCGCAAGACCAAAGUGGGGGACCUUCGGGCCUCACACCAUCGGAUGUGCCCAGAUGGGAUUAGCUAGUAGGUGGGGUAAUGGCUCACCUAGGCGACGAUCCCUAGCUGGUCUGAGAGGAUGACCAGCCACACUGGAACUGAGACACGGUCCAGACUCCUACGGGAGGCAGCAGUGGGGAAUAUUGCACAAUGGGCGCAAGCCUGAUGCAGCCAUGCCGCGUGUAUGAAGAAGGCCUUCGGGUUGUAAAGUACUUUCAGCGGGGAGGAAGGCGGUGAAGUUAAUAGCUUCACCGAUUGACGUUACCCGCAGAAGAAGCACCGGCUAACUCCGUGCCAGCAGCCGCGGUAAUACGGAGGGUGCAAGCGUUAAUCGGAAUUACUGGGCGUAAAGCGCACGCAGGCGGUCUGUCAAGUCGGAUGUGAAAUCCCCGGGCUUAACCUGGGAACUGCAUUCGAAACUGGCAGGCUAGAGUCUUGUAGAGGGGGGUAGAAUUCCAGGU
rnacentral:rRNA from 1 species